AAAUAAACAAUGGAGAAAUUAUUGUCUAAAUAUAUACUCUUAGGUUUUGUACAGUUUUUUCAAAUAUACACAUCGUCAAGUGUUCAGCAUAACAUCACUGUUUCGCUCGCAGUACCUUUCGGCGAUUUGCCUUCACGCUCCUGUGCGUCAAAAACGUGAAAGUUCAAAAGCGGCAACGUCGAAAUGAACACUUAGCUAAUAAUUCAAUAAUGUCUGUAGAUAUUGUGGGAGCUGACAGACAAGACUAAUAUGCCACCAAGAACACGUUUAAAUACUUAAAACAUUUCAUUCUUCGAUCAAAAUAACAAUGUAAUAAUCUGUAAAUAAAUUGAAUUCAUGUUUCACACGAAGGCCCGUUCACGUUUUGUGUCAAAUCGGAUCCCCUUUGCUACAGUUUUCGCGCACUACACGAGGUGACUUGGCAGCACAAAGCAUUGGGAAAUGCAUGACAACUAUGAACGGGACCAAGACACGUUGAGCUUGGCAGAGGAGAAAUGUGAUCUUCAAAUUGCAGAAUCCCGAGGGGGAGUCUCAGGCAUUCCAAAGUGAGGAAGUGGAUUCAGAUGUAGUAUCUGUGAGAAAGUACUGACAUGUAAAGGUGGAUAUACUGUUCAUCAGCAGAUGACUUGAAGUCAAAAGAAACGGAGACCAUUCAGUCAUUUCUACAGAUUUCCAAGCACGAAUGCUCUUAUGUUCAGCUGAGAAAAAAAUGAUGAACAAGCAGAAAAUACAGCAGCAAAGGACAAGGAAGAGAUGGCACACAUUUUAAGAAUGAAAUUAACUUAAUAAAUAUUCAGAUCAUUUCUAAGGGAUGUUACAUUUGGGAAUUCACUUUUCCAGUAUAGUACAGAUACUAGUACUUUGCUGGUAGAGGGUGGAGUGAAUCCCUUGUGUGAUUUGAACCAACCCUCUAAAGGUGAAACACCUUAUCACAGAACAACAUUGUUAGCAAUUUAACCUGACAAAUGUUAGUCAAGGUCUCGAUCAGAGAAGUGUAAAUGCCACAAUUACAAUUUUUUGCAAAGUUAUGCAAAUAAGAAUGUCAAAACUAUUUGGUUUAAUAAAUAGUAAUUAUUAAACUUA